UGGGGGAUAUUGCACAAUGGAGGAAACUCUGAUGCAGCGACGCCGCGUGAGUGAAGAAGUAUUUCGGUAUGUAAAGCUCUAUCAGCAGGGAAGAAAGGCUCGCAAGAGAGAUGACGGUACCUGAGUAAGAAGCUCCGGCUAAAUACGUGCCAGCAGCCGCGGUAAUACGUAUGGAGCAAGCGUUAUCCGGAUUUACUGGGUGUAAAGGGAGCGCAGACGGAUAUGCAAGUCUGAAGUGAAACCCCACGGCUCAACCGUGGGCUUGCUUUGGAAACUGUAGAUCUAGAGUACUGGAGAGGUAAGCGGAAUUCCUGGUGUAGCGGUGAAAUGCGUAGAUAUCAGGAAGAACAUCGGCGGCGAAGGCGGCUUACUGGACAGCAACUGACGUUGAGGCUCGAAGGCGUGGGGAGCAAACAGGAUUAGAUACCCUGGUAGUCCACGCGGUAAACGAUGAAUACUAGGUGUUGGGAGACAAAGUUUUUCAGUGCCGAAGCAAACGUGAUAAGUAUUCCACCUGGNAGUACGUUCGCAAGAAUG
rnacentral:rRNA from 1 species